rnacentral:rRNA from 1 species
AUUGAACGCUGGCGGCAUGCUUUACACAUGCAAGUCGAACGGCAGCGCGGGGGCAACCCUGGCGGCGAGUGGCGAACGGGUGAGUAAUGUAUCGGAACGUAUCCUGUAAUGGGGAUAACCAGUCGAAAGAUUGGGUAAUACCGCAUACGCACGAGAGUGGAAAGUAGGGGAUCGCAAGACCUUACGUUAUAGGAGCGGCCGAUAUCUGAUUAGCUAGUUGGUGGGUAAAGGCCUACCAAGGCGACGAUCAGUAGCUGGUCUGAGAGGAUGAUCAGCCACACUGGGACUGAGACACGGCCCAGACUCCUACGGGAGGCGAGCAGGUAGGGUAAUUUGGACAAGUGGGACGAAA